CGGUUGAUCCUGCCGGAGGUCACUGCUAUCGGGGUUCGAUUAAGCCAUGCGAGUUGAGAGGGUUUAGACCCUCAGCGGACUGCUCAGUAACACGUGGGUAACCUGCCCUAAGGUGGAGAAUAACCCCGGGAAACUGGGGAUAAUACUCCAUAGAUUAGAGAUACUGGAAUGUUCUUUAAUCGAAAGUUGAGGCGCCUUAGGAUGGAUCUGCGGUCGAUUAGGUUGUUGUUGGGGUAACGGCCCAACAAGCCUGUAAUCGAUACGGGUUGUGGGAGCAAGAGCCCGGAGAUGGAAUCUGAGACACGAUUCCAGGCCCUACGGGGCGCAGCAGGCGCGAAAACUUUACAAUGCAGGAAACUGUGAUAAGGGAACCCCGAGUGCCCGUAUACGCGGGCUGUCCAGGUGUUUAAAACGCAUCUGAAGAAAGGGCCGGGCAAGACCGGUGCCAGCCGCCGCGGUAAUACCGGCGGCUCGAGUGGUGGCCACUAUUAUUGGGCUUAAAGCGUCCGUAGCUGGACCCUUAAGUCUCUUGGGAAAUCCGCCGGCUUAACCGACGGGCGUCUAAGAGAUACUGGGGGUCUAGGGACCGGGGGANGUGAGAGGUACUCCGGGGGUAGGANUGAAAUCCUGUAAUCCCCCGGGGGANCACCGAUGGCGAANGCNUCUCACCANAACGGCUCCNNCNGUGAGGGANGAAANGCU
rnacentral:rRNA from 1 species